UUGCUUCCAUUGAAAACCUUACCAAUCUAAAAUUAAGAGAUUCUAAUCUCUUGGAGAAUACAUCUUCAGUUCUUCAGUUUCUUCCCAAAUUAAAACAUCUCAUUUUAGAUGAAGCAUAGAAGGCAAAGAUCAUUGGUAAUUGCGAGGCAGGUGGAUAUCCGCAACUAGAAACAUUGACAAUUUCUUCAGAGGAUCUGGUGGAGUGGACUGAGAUUGUAAAUGGGGCUUUUCCAAGUUUGAGGAUGCUUGCGUUAUCAUCUUGUCAAAAUUUGAGGUUUCUUCCUGAAGGUUUGCAACACAUCUCUACUAUUCAAAAGCCUUUUUUAGGGCAUUUCCACGGGGACCUAGCAAGAAGAUUGAGAGGCAAAGAAAAUUAUAAGAUCAAGCAUAUUUCAAAUUUGAUUAUCACUGAAUAAAAGUAGCUAUUAUUUGAUUCUCAAAUGCCUCCUAUCACUACA
rnacentral:misc_RNA from 1 species